rnacentral:lncRNA from 1 species
CCCAAAUCGAUGAAGAUUUUCCUGAGGUUUGGCCAGUCCGCCAUGCCUUACCCCAGUCCGCCGCGUCUUCCGGCAUUCCGCUGCGCUCCGACUUCGGCUCGUCGAAGGCGUACGAAUGUUUCUGUCACUCUUCAUUUUAGCUUCAGCCGGAGCUUCUGCUGUUCUGAGAAAAAUUGGUAAUGGCUACCGCUUGAUUUCCAUCCAGGAGAACUCUCUGCCUCAGUCCUUCCAUCUCCUCGACAAAGCCUUCCAAUCCGGAAUCAAUUUCUUCGACUCCGCCGAAAUGUAC